UUUCCGUAGGUGAACCUGCGGAAGGAUCAUUACAGAGUUGCAAAACUCCCAAACCAUUGUGAACGUUACCUAUCCCGUUGCUUCGGCGGGCGGCCCGGGCCCCGCGCCCGGCGCCCCCCGGCCCCCCGUGGGCGCCCGCCGGAGGUAAACCAAACCCUUGAAUUGCAUGGACUCUCUGAGUCUUCUGUACUGAAUAAGUCAAAACUUUCAACAACGGAUCUCUUGGUUCUG
rnacentral:misc_RNA from 1 species